AUAUCUCCCGUUUCCCUUUCCCCUGACUCUCAGUCUGAAGAAGGGUCUCGGCCUGAAACGUCACCCAUUCCUUCACCCCGAGAUACUGCUGAAUUACUCCAGCAUUUUGUGCCUGUCCUCUACAUUAGCUGUUCAACUUCCAAAUUCCCUUGUUUCCCUACAUUUUAUUUGCGGCAAAAUUAUUGUGGUUUCUCAUUUCCUUUCAAGUUGGUUAAUUGGUUUUCAAGCUGGUUAAAUUGCAUAAAGUAAGUUUAUAUGCAACUACAUUAAGGACAGAAAUGCUAAAAAACAUUCAGCAAGUCAGGCAGCAGGCAUUGGCAAUUAAAAGAGAAACAACAGAUAUUUCAAGUUUGGGAUGCUAUCAAGUUUUUCCAACAUUUUCUAUUUUAUUUCAUCUGCAGUUUGUUUCUAAAUUUCAUUUACUGUUCUAUUUCACUUAAACACUUUUCUAUUUAAACGUAUGUUCUGUCAGGGACAAAAUAGCAACCUAAAGCUGGUUUUCCAUAUAUUUACUUCUUCUACCAGGGAAUCCCUCUGAGCCGGCAUUGCUUUGUGGGCAGGCAGCAAGGUGAAAAAACUGGUCGAGCUGCUGUCUCACAGCGGCAGAGGCCCGGGUUCAAUCCUGAUCUCUGAUGGUGUUCUCCCUGUAACCUCGUGGCUUUACUACCACAUCCCAAGACAUGCAGGAGCAAGAAACCACAAAUUCUGAAAACCAGAAGCAAACAGAGAGAAAUCUGGAUGCAGACGGCAGGUCAAGAAACAUCUGUGGAGAGAGAAACAGAAUCAGAUGUCUCAGGUCGAGGAUUUUUCACCGGAACUGGAAAGAAUACAGAGCAGCACAGCACAGGAACAAGUCCUUCAGCCCAAUAUCCUCUUGUAAUCUACUUGCAUUGCAUUUACAGCAAUGAAGAGCAAGGUAAUGACACAGAUUCGCCCUACCUAGAAAGCUUAUCUCACACAAAACACUGGUGGGCCAGCAAGGACCAAUAAGGGAAUUGAAUACCAUCUGAAGCGACAGAGGAAGAGAAUGAACAUGGAAUGAAGAUUAUUCAGCUUUGUUCCUGACAGUAACUGUUAAGCCACGAGGUACAAUCCUUCACAAGUCCCACGAAUGUAUCAUCUAGCAGCAUCUUUGAAGUUGAAGUCAAGACCAGUCCCGAGUAAUAAAGCAUAUUAGCAAGUCGAAGCAGCACCAUUCAUUAUUGUUAUGUGAUAUUGAAAUUUUAAUGCAAAAGCAAGCAAUUGCAUCAAUUUUAUCUGACUGCAAAGUC